rnacentral:rRNA from 1 species
GUGAGGAAUAUUGGUCAAUGGGCGAAAGCCUGAACCAGCCAUGUCGCGUGAAGGAUGAAGGUCCUAUGGAUUGUAAACUUCUUUUGCAGGAGGGUAAAGUGAGCUACGUGUAGUUCAUUGCAAGUACCCUGCGAAUAAGCAUCGGCUAACUCCGUGCCAGCAGCCGCGGUAAUACGGAGGAUGCGAGCGUUAUCCGGAUUUAUUGGGUUUAAAGGGUGCGUAGGCGGACUAAUUAGUCAGCGGUGAAAUUUUGCGGCUCAACCGUAAAACUGCCGUUGAAACUGUUAGUCUUGAGUGCGGUAGAGGUAGGCGGAAUGUGUGGUGUAGCGGUGAAAUGCUUAGAUAUCACACAGAACACCGAUUGCGUAGGCAGCUUACUGGAGCGCAACUGACGCUGAGGCACGAAAGCGUGGGGAUCGAACAGGAUUAGAAACACCAGUAGUCC